AAGACCUUGCGCUUUUGGAGCGGCCGAMGUCUGAUUAGCUUGUUGGUGAGGUAAAAGCUUACCAAGGCUUCGAUCAGUAGCUGGUCUGAGAGGACGGCCAGCCACACUGGGACUGAGACACGGCCCAGACUCCUACGGGAGGCAGCAGUGGGGAAUUUUGGACAAUGGGGGCAACCCCGAUCCAGCCAUGCCGCGUGAGUGAAGAAGGCCUUCGGGUUGUAAAGCUCUUUCAGCCGGAACGAAACGGUUACGGUUAAUACCCGUGACUACUGACGGUACCGGAAGAAGAAGCACCGGCUAACUACGUGCCAGCAGCCGCGGUAAUACGUAGGGUGCAAGCGUUAAUCGGAAUUACUGGGCGUAAAGCGUGCGCAGGUGGUUUUGUAAGUCAGAUGUGAAAUCCCCGGGCUUAACCCGGGAACU
rnacentral:rRNA from 1 species